rnacentral:lncRNA from 1 species
AGCAUUAUGUUGUAAGAGCAUCUAGAGAAUGUGCAUGGCAUCUUAGAAGUUAUAGAAUGACUCUUUUCAGGUAUUAGCGAAGUAUACAUAGAUCAAGCGAAUCACAAGAUCACAGUGGUCGGGAUGGCUCACCCUGAGAGGAUCGUCAAGGCCAUCAGGAAGACCAAAAGGGUCCCAACUAUCUUCUCACACACUGAUCCCUCAGCCGAGGCUCAGCCUCUGCCUGCCGAAGGGGAGGCUCCACCACCCGCUGACCCACCAGCUGACGCCUCUCCAGCAGAGGCAGCUCCGUCCGAGCCCACACCGGAGACCAAGGAGGUGCCACCGGCAGAACCCCCGGUCAUGGAUGCCAUCGUGAUGAAUAAGAUGCAUGACUACCCGUAUGGUGACGGCCACCACCUGUACAGGGAGCACUGGGUGAACCACCCAAUGGACAUGCAUGGGGUUAGAUAUGAUGCUGCACCUUACCAUGUAACGCACAGCUACAGCUACCACAGUACGAGCCCCUACAUAGCCGAGUACGGCUAUGGAGGUUCUCCUGAUCAAGAAGGCAGGUCCUACAGCUAUAACUACUACCCGGGCAGGGGCAAAGGAGAUGGCAGCCAGAUCACUUCAAUGUUCAGUGAUGAGAACCCAAAACGCAUGCAGCAUAGUUUGAGAUCCAUAGGUGAUCUAAGCGAGGAGUUUGUUUCUUCAGACCCUUGAUGCCAUAGAAGGUUGCAUAGUGCAGAGACAGGUGAUGCAUGCUUUGGCCUAUGUAAAAGGGCUAGUGUUUAGUUGUAAGAUUUAAAUGUGGGGUUUGUAUGAUGCAAGUAAUUAAGAUGGGGAGUAAGGUAAUGGAAGUGGGAUAAUAAGAUGCUUAACGUGUAGUGGGAGAUGAUUUUCCUGGCAAUCACCACUAUUUUUACUAACCCUCCUCCCUCCACCUUACAGAAUCUAAUAAAGUUGUGCUCCUGUGUGCCAGUAAAAGGAAGUGGCACAGGUGCUCCACUGUUCCAUGGCCAAGUCUAGCUUUUUGACCUGUCUAGCAAGCAGCAUGACAGGGAUAGGCACAACACAUGUUAUUCUUAAAAUUUUCACAUCUCAUUUCUAUCACAUAAAGCACAGUGUCUCCUGUUGAAGAGCAAACCAUGACAAGGAGUCUAUUUGAAAACAUAAAGUUUCAUUGUGUUCUCAAAACUUAAGGCUCUUUAAUGGUAGCAAAAACUGGCUCUAUUCUAAUGCACUUUACUAUGCAGGAUAUCAGGAAUGAUGCAAACGGCGCAGUAGAUGAUUGCGAGAUGGCUCAGGUACUCCCCCCCCCCACCCCUCCUCCCCGACACCUCUCCUACCACCAGCCUCACGCCGGCGCCUACUCCGGGCACAGCAGCCACCUUCUCUAGUCCAGCUUCUCCCUCCCCGGCGUCGGGAACUUCUUCCCCUGCUUGCUGCCCAGCAGCCACUGGUUGUUCCAAGGCGCAAAGAUGGAUUGAUGGUUCGCCUUCCUCGGCUGGUUCUGGCGCCUCCCCUAUCUCGUUCAAGGAGGCCCUCCUCAAGGAUGUUUCGCCGGCGGUGGUCAGACGUGGCAACCGCGUGACUUCGCCAGCCUCGUCAGUGCGCGUUGUGCUGGCCCCGGCGCUUGAGGCGCCCCCGCCUCGUGCUGUGUUGGCCCCUUCGCGGCAGGUGCUACCCACCCGUUUUGUGCUGCGCCCGACGGCUAGCCCCGGUGUGCGCCGUGAACCUGACACGGAGGGGUGGAGGACGGUGGAAAGUCGGCGUGCCCGCCGCGCGCGCCUGCGUGUAGUCCGCCCACCUCGUCGACCGGUCCCUUCGGCACCUCCGAGGCAGGUGCUUCAACUGCUUCUCGUCAGAGCAUCGGGCCGACACCACGUUGUUUCCUUUGCCAGGAUAUCGGUCACCUGUCCUCCAUCUGUUGACGUCGACCCUCGGUGCUGCGCCCGGAAUCCUCCUCGGGUCAUCAUUUGGUCUGGCGGCCGGUGAAGUCCUGCGUGGCGGCGCCCCCUACCCCGGUGUGUUCAAUGGCGACCAUCCAGAAGGAUGGUGCUGAGGCAGGAGCUCCGGGAAGGCGACGUCAACGCCGAAGCAGGGGACGGCGUGCGGACGGCGGAAUUGGUCAAUCUUCAUCCAGCGUCCCCGUCACCUCCCCUGUUGAGGUGGUGGCCGGCCAUGCUCCCCCCUCGUCAUCCAGCAAUGAUGAUCAAGACCCGGUGGUACGGCCUCGAAAGAUCAUUGAUCGCUCAGCCGCCCUGAUCCAAAGAGAGGACGAGCUUUCUCGUGCACUGGUGGUGUCCGUGUUCGGGAAUGCUCUCGAUGACUCGCCAGAAUCCAUCAAGGCCACAAUUGCCCAGCGUUUCAGCUUGGAAGAUGAGGAGCUUAUCAUUCAUUGUUUUGGUGCUUCAAGUUUCCUGAUGACCUUUGCAAAUGCUGAUUCGGCGACACGGGUGUAUAAUGAAGGAAGGCCAAUCAUCACUCAUACUCAUCGCCUGCACGUCAGGCGCUGGUCCCGUCUCCUUCACUCCGCCGCGGCGGUGCUUUCAGUCCCUGUGGAGAUUGAGCUGCGGGGCAUCCCUGCUCACGCAUGGGACUUGGCAACGGCGGAACACCUUCUUAAUGAGUAUUGCUGGAUUGAAGGCCUCAACCCGGAUACUGAGAAUUGUAGGGACGUAUUCCGGGUGACAGCAUGGUGUUCUUCUCCAAGUGGUGUCCCUGAAGGUUUGGAAUUGGGGAUCGUGGAGCCACUGGUGGCCGGAGUUCAUCCACAUGAAGGAAGACGGUGUCUGGAUUAUCAGAUUGAGAUUUCGUGUUCUCCCGUUGAUUUGCAUCCGCCAGCUGAUGCCCCGCCACCCCUGCCUCGAGCUGACCAGCAGGGUGGUCGCCAUCGAAGGCGUUGGCGACGGCGGCGUGGCUCGCUGGCGGAAAGCCCUAGCUCAUCGGCGCCAGGGAGCUCGGCGAAGGCACGCUUCCCAGUGCAUGACAGGCUGGGGUCCAUUGGUGCUUCGUGCAACCUACUUUCUCCCAAUGCUACAAUUGAUGUGGCGCCGGCUGUUAAUUGCGGUCCGCCACCCGAAGAGUUCAUCAGGGAUGGUGCUUCUCCCGGCUCCAAGCUACCUGCGUGCCCUGAGGAGCCGGCAUGCGUAGCUCCUGCUGAGGUUGUAACGGCUGCGCGGGGAUCACCCGAGGCGCCCCGCUUCAAUGCUCUGGCUCCUGAUGACGAGGUCUGCACGUGGCCCGAAGAGUCCAGCAGGGAGGCCCAUGUGUGAGCAAUUCCCCCGGCGGCCAGAACGGCGGAUCCCCACGCGCACGAACCAUUUGAAGCGCCAGCAAUCAAUUCUGGGGAUUAUGGAACCGUAUCCAACACACAACCCGACGAGCCAAGCAAUCCCUCCUUGGAAGAUUUGGCGGCGCCCCUGUUGGUUGAAGAGCUCCAACCUGCUGAUGAUUUCCCGGGAAUCUCUAUCCUCCGGUUGACCGCGCCUGCUGCAUGCGGGCCAGCUCUGGAUGGGGAUGGACCCUUGGUGAUUUCUCAUGCGGAUCCUGAUGGAUUGCUGGCCCAACUGCCAGUGGACGGCCCUAUAAUGGAAAUUUUUCUCACGGGCCAUCAUGUACGGCCUUCAACGCCUAUCCAGCAACUCAGUGUCUCGACGGCGACGCCUUUUCAAACUCAAGACCAGAUGGCGGCGCCUCACACUCUCACUGCUGAUGGUUCUAGGGUUGGAACACUGAAGGUGUAUUCUCGCACAUGAGUCCGUACCAAGCCCCCUCCUACCUCCGAAACCUCUAGGGAGGUUACUGUCAGCAAUGUCUCAACUCCGGCAGCCCCUAUUCUGUCUAAAGUCUGCAAGCCAACUGAGAUGCUCCUUCCACAGCCGGUUAUUCACAAGAGGCGUGCCAAAGCAGCGGCUCCGGGCUCUUUACCUCGGCGAAGCAGGAGGGUGGCAGGUGUCGACCCUUGUUCCCCGAGGCCCAUCACUACUGCCUCCCAAAGGAGAGUGAUGAGGGCGCUUGGCUUUGAUUGCAGGAAAAAAUGGAUCCCAAGACCCAAGAUGAAUAUUUCAAGAUCAUGGGCAGUCGUCUCGCGGACACUCAUGUGGCUGCCAUGGCAGCCAUCUUUGGGUGGAGCCUAGAAGAGGAUUCUUAGGUAUGAGAUAUGGACACCCUGUAAUCCAUGUCUGAUUGGCUGUUGGUCGUCUCUAUUUUACUGUCUUAUCAAUGAAUCCGUCUUCUAUUUUGAUCUAGAAUGUGCGUAGUCUUGACCAAAAAAGCCGAUGUGAUGCCGUUGGUGAAGUCAUCCGAUCUACAAAUGCUCCAGUGGUUUGUCUUCAAGAAACCAAGGUUGCUGCCAUGACCCAGCGCAUUUUCCUCUCUGUAUUCGGUUCUGCUUAUGACAAAUUUGUGGCAUUACCAGUAGUUGGUACAAGAGGUGGAAUAUUAAUUGCCUGGAAAAGUAACAUGUGUCAGAUUCUAGCCUCUAGAGUGGACAACUUCUUUGUCUCUGUCCAUUUUGAGGAACUAAAAGGUCGUAAUUGGUGAUUUACAGGGGCUUAUGGGCCUCAAGAAGAUGAAGAUAAAAUAGCUUUCUUACAAGAACUCAGGGAUAUACGAGCCUUAUGUACUGGACCAUGGCUAAUUGGAGGGGAUCUCAACUUGAUUUAUCAAGCUGCUGAUAAAAACAAUGCCAACUUGGAUCGUGCCAUGAUGGGUCGUUUCAGGCGUUUCUUGGAUGAUGUGGAGGCUAAGGAAAUUCCGCUCUUAGGGCGAAAAUAUACUUGGUCAAAUGAACGUACCUCACCCACUCUUGUGAGACUAGACAGCCUUUUGCUGCCUGGAUUGGGAGAAUAUUUUCCCUGAUGCAGUCCUGCAAAGCAGUGCAUCUGUUGUCUCUGAUCAUUGCCCCUUGUUUUGGGAUUGAAGGUCUGUAAAAGUGGCAAGAGCAGAUUUCAUUUUGAGAGCUUCUGACUAAACUUCCUGGUUUCUCGGAAGCGGUCCAGAAAAAUUGGAAUGCCCCUGUACCAUCUUCUUGUGCAGUGGAGCGCCUAUUCCUAAAAUUGCAGAGACUUACCAGGGACCUCCAUAAAUGGGAACAGCAGAAAAUAGGUAAUGUCAAGCUACAGCUAGGAACGGCCAAAGAAAUUCUUCAUCACCUUGAGAUUGCUAGAGAUUCCAGGGAUCUUUCUCCCAGGGAGGAGUGGCUGAGGAAAAAACUUAAGCUCCACUGUUUGGGCUUGGCCUCCCUGGAACGGACUAUUGCUCGACUCCGUUCUAGAGUGCUUUAUCUUAAGGAAGGAGAUGCCAAUACAUCCUUUUUCCACCAGCAAGCUAGAUACAGGAAGAAGAAGAAUUUCAUUGCUAAAUUACAAGUGGGUGAUCAAACUGUCUUUGACCAAAAGGAUAAACAGGAAGCUGUAGAUCAAUUCUAUGAAGAUUUGUUGGGCACGGCUGAGGCACGAGAUUAUACCAUUGAUUUUGCCGAACUGGGGAUUCAACAACAUGAUCUGUCCGCUUUGGAAGUCCCUUUCACAGAAGAGGAAGUGUGGGCCACAAUUAAGGAGAUGCCCUUGGACAAGGCCCCAGGACCAGAUGGGUUUACUGGCAGGUUCUAUAAAACUUGCAGGAAUAUUAUCAAAGAGGAUGUCAUGUCGGCUCUGCGGUCCAUUCAUCGAGGUCAUGUGUUUCGUUUCAGGUUACUCAACACAACUCUUAUUUCGCUUUUGCCCAAGAAACAGGAUGCCCUCUCAGUCAAAGAUUUCAGACCCAUAAAUUUGAUUCACAGUUUUGCUAAACUUGUCACAAAAAUCAUGGCAAAUCGAUUAGCCCCUCUUUUGCCAAGCUUGAUCCCCCCGAAUCAGUGCUUUCAUAAAGGAAGGAACAUACACGAUAAUUUUUUGUUUGUCCAGCAGAUGGUCAAGUCGUUGCAUGCCAAAAAGGAAGCUCAUAUCCUCCUUAAAUUGGAUAUCUCCAAAGCUUUUGACUCGGUCUCAUGGCCUUUUCUCUUGGAAGUACUCCGUCAUUUGGGUUUUGGCCGUCGUUGGUGCAACCUGUUAUGUCUGAUACUGUCCACCUCAUCUACUCAGGUGCUGGUUAACGGGGAGCCGGGGGCUGGUUUCUUUCACCACCGUGGUCUCAGGCAGGGAGACCCGCUCUCACCUAUGUUUUUCAUCUUGGUUAUGGAGGUGCUGAAUUCUCUCAUCAAAUAUGCCACCAGACAAAACCUGUUGCAACUUCUUGCUGUCCGGCGCGUCUUACACAGGGCAUCUUUCUAUGCCGAUGAUGCAGUUAUUUUUUUCCGCCCAAAUCAGGAUGACCUCCGAGUGAUUAAGAUGAUUCUUGAUAUAUUUGGGCAUGCUUCUGGCCUCCAUACUAACUUUGCCAAAAGUUCAGCCUUUCCAAUUCAUUGCUCCCAGGAAGAGAUACACAUAACUUCUGAAUUAUUGGCAUGUCCAGUAAAGGAUUUUCCUUGUACUUAUCUUGGCUUGCCCCUCACAAUAAGAAAACCAACCAAGGAAGUCCUUCUGCCCCUUAUUGAUAAAGUCGCUGAUUACCUCCCAAAUUGGAAAGCUUCCCUUAUGAAUAGAGCAGGCCGUCUUAGUCAUUAAGGUGGUUCUAACAGCAUCUGUAAUCCACCAUCUCAUUGCGAUUGAUCUGCCAAAAUGGGUAGUCAAGGCAAUUGACAAGUAACGGCGCGGUUUUCUUUGAAAAGGGCAGGAACAGGCAAACGGAGGAAAUUGCUUGGUUUCAUGGGAAAAGGUUCAGCGCCCGUUAGAAUAUGGAGGCCUGGGCAUCCACAACCUUGAAUCCUUUGGCUAGGCCUUACGGAUCAGAUGGCUUUGGGCUCACAAAACAGAUCCUACCCAGCCAUGGGCUGGUCUGCAUAUUCAAGUACCUCACAAAGCACAAGCCUUGUUUAAUAUGGCUACAGUCUCAGUGCUUGGGAAUGGUGAGACAGUGCUCUUCUGGAAAGAUAGAUGGUUGGAGGGAAAGACCUUGGCUGAAAUAGCACCAAAUCUGUUCCAGACUAUUCCCAAAAGAAUUGUCAAGUCUAGAACAGUUGCUCAGGCUCUCUCCAAUAGGUGCUGGGUGUCAGACAUUAGAGGAGGACUGUCAGUUGAGGUCCUGAUGGAAUACCUGCUGCUCUGGGACCAAUUGGAUGGUGUCCAGCUUCAACAGAACACCCCUGACCACUAUAUUUGGAAGCUAACACAAUCCGGUCUUUAUUCUAGUAAGUCUGCUUAUGAGGCCUUCUUUGUGGGCUCUAUAAAAUUUAUACCAUGGAAAAGGAUUUGGAGAAGUUGGGCCCCUUUACGAUGCAAAUUCUUCAUUUGGCUGGCUAUCAAACAGAGACUUUGGACCGCUGACAGGCUGGCCAGCAGGGGACUGCAGCAUCCUCCAGCCUGCUUGCUCUGUGAUCAGGCACAAGAAACAGCCCCACAUUUGCUGUUAUCUUGUGUGUUCUCAAGACAAAUCUGGUGCUUGGUUUUCUCUCAUCUAAAUCUAGUAGUUGAUGUGCCGGCUGAUGCUACUAGCUUCUCAGCUUGGUGGGGCAAAUUAAUAAGAGCUACACCAAAGGAGUGGCGCAAGGGCUUAAAUUCACUCAUCAUUUUGGUGGCAUGGGAGAUUUGGAAGCAUCGGAAGUCUUGUGUGUUUGAAGGCUCUCUCCCUAACAUCCAGAUGCUCCUUCAGGCUAUAACUAAUGAAAGCACCCUGUGGUGCUUGGCUGGAGCCUCUCAUCUCAGCAAGUUGCUUGCUAGGUCGCUUCCUCCAGCAGCUUAGAUUUGGUGCUGGUUGGUCUGAUCCCUCCUGUUUUUUUGUGGCGCUUCAGUAAGGUUCCUCUGUUGUAGGUGUUGAGUUGUGUGAGUUGUGUGGGUGUGCUUGGUACUUAGUCUGGGGGCUCUCCCCCUCUCUAUGUACUCUUUUUUCUCUAUCUUAAAUGAAAUGACGCGCAGCUCUCCUGCGUUGUUCGAAAAAAAAGGAAUGAUGCAAACUUGAUGUCUAAUGCAUUUUCAUUUUUCUUGGGAGCAUAAGCAGGAUGUUUGUAUUUUCAUUAAGCUAGCAGAACACGUCCUGAAGUAGUAACUUCAUGCAGGAAAGUGAAAUUAUUUGAUAAAAUGAUAGCACAAUAACUUAGUUAAUUUCAUUUCACCAUGGAGCAAUAUCUCUAGCACAAUUAACAAGGCAUAAGGAAAAAUAAGAGGUGAGCACUGCUGCAGGGGAAGUACUGACCUGGGGAGGUAGUAACUGGAAUGAUAGAGACCAGUAUAAGAGGCCAAAAUGCACAUCACUGGAUGAGGCAAAU